UACGUAGGGACCAAGCGUUGUUCGGAUUUACUGGGCGUAAAGUGUGCGCAGGCGGCCGCGCAAGUCGAGUGUGAAAGCCCCGAGCUUAACUUGGGAAUUGCGCUCGAAACUACGUGGCUGGAGUGUGGCAGAGGAAGGUGGAAUUCCAGGUGUAGCGGUGAAAUGCGUAGAGAUCUGGAGGAACACCGAUGGCGAAGGCGGGUCUCUGGGCAGUAACUGACGCUGAGGAGCGAAAGCGUGGGGAGCGAACAGG
rnacentral:rRNA from 1 species